AGGAUCAUUAUGAGGAUGGUGAUCGAUCCGGAUAGAGUGAUGCACAGAUCGCUUCCUUCGGGAUAGAUGAAUCUCUGGUUUACAUUGUAGAGACAUUGGAUGACAAGUGCAGAUAGUUAUUGGAGAAUAACUAGUACUGAGCGUGACCAUACGAGAAAUCACUUGGAUUUCUAUUCAAUCAUCAGUGAUUAUCUCGUUGC
rnacentral:lncRNA from 1 species